GCUCAGAUUGAACGCUGGCGGCAGGCCUAACACAUGCAAGUCGAGCGGAAACGAUCCUAGCUUGCUAGGAGGCGUCGAGCGGCGGACGGGUGAGUAAUGCAUAGGAAUCUGCCCGGUAGUGGGGGAUAACCUGGGGAAACCCAGGCUAAUACCGCAUACGCCCUACGGGGGAAAGCAGGGGAUCUUCGGACCUUGCGCUAUUGGAUGAGCCUAUGUCGGAUUAGCUUGUUGGUGAGGUAAAGGCUCACCAAGGCUGCGAUCCGUAGCUGGUCUGAGAGGAUGAUCAGCCACAUCGGGACUGAGACACGGCCCGAACUCCUACGGGAGGCAGCAGUGGGGAAUAUUGGACAAUGGGCGAAAGCCUGAUCCAGCCAUGCCGCGUGUGUGAAGAAGGCUUUCGGGUUGUAAAGCACUUUCAGUGAGGAAGAACGCCUUCGGAUUAAUACUCCGGAGGAGAGACAUCACUCACAGAAGAAGCACCGGCUAACUCCGUGCCAGCAGCCGCGGUAAUACGGAGGGUGCGAGCGUUAAUCGGAAUUACUGGGCGUAAAGCGCGCGUAGGUGGCUUGAUAAGCCGGUUGUGAAAGCCCCGGGCUCAACCUGGGAACGGCAUCCGGAACUGUCAGGCUAGAGUGCAGGAGAGGAAGGUAGAAUUCCCGGUGUAGCGGUGAAAUGCGUAGAGAUCGGGAGGAAUACCAGUGGCGAAGGCGGCCUUCUGGACUGACACUGACACUGAGGUGCGAAAGCGUGGGUAGCAAACAGGAUUAGAUACCCUGGUAGUCCACGCCGUAAACGAUGUCGACUAGCCGUUGGGUUCCUAGAGAACUUUGUGGCGCAGUUAACGCGAUAAGU
rnacentral:rRNA from 1 species